rnacentral:tRNA from 1 species
UAGAAGUUAAUUAAUUUAUAAUAUAUAUUUGUCAUAUAUAAAUUGUCUUACAGACACUUCUCA